ACUGUUUUAAAAGAGACCAGUAUUUUAUUUCACAUAGCAUUUACUCUUCUGUUUGUGUUUUAUUACAAAGAACUUUUCAGAUUAUGGCUGUGCAGCAUCACCAGUUUUUUUCUAUUCCUCUGCAGUGAAGGAGAGAAAACUAAGACACAUUAAAUAUGUUAAGCAAUAAAGAGAAGAAAGGAAGAUUGAUCAAAGGUUAGAAACCUGACCUGAAGGCUCGGUUCCAGUGCUAGGUCAUGACAGGAGCGCGAGGAGAGCGUCUCACUGCUGGAGGCAGAGCCCAGCUGAUGCUUGUGUUGAGAGAAAACCCAACUGAAGCUGACACACUUCACGGCUUUAGCAUCAGGGCAAAGCUGUCACAGCCAGUCGAGAACAGUUCAUAGAGUCUGGGACAUUUGCAGAUCUACUAAGUCAGAUGUUUGGGGAGAAUAAACACGUGAUAUGAGAUUGCA
rnacentral:lncRNA from 1 species